GAUGAACGCUAGCGGCAGGCCUAACACAUGCAAGUCGAGGGGUAGAGUUUCUUCGGAGACUUGAGACCGGCGCACGGGUGCGUAACGCGUAUGCAAUCUGCCCUUUACUGGGGAAUAGCCCGGAGAAAUUCGGAUUAAUGCCCCAUAUGCCCGUAGAAUCGCCUGAUUCAGCGGGGAAAGUUCCGACGGUAAAGGAUGAGCAUGCGUCCCAUUAGCUAGUUGGUGAGGUAACGGCUCACCAAGGCGACGAUGGGUAGGGGGCCUGAGAGGGUGAUCCCCCACACUGGUACUGAGACACGGACCAGACUCCUACGGGAGGCAGCAGUGAGGAAUAUUGGGCAAUGGAGGCAACUCUGACCCAGCCAUGCCGCGUGCAGGAAGACGGCCCUCUGGGUUGUAAACUGCUUUUGUUUGGGAAUAAACCCUUCUACGUGUAGGAGGCUGAAGGUACCAUACGAAUAAGGAAGUCGGCUAACUCCGUG
rnacentral:rRNA from 1 species